rnacentral:rRNA from 1 species
AGCGGACGCUGGCGGCAGGCCUAACACAUGCAAGUCGAACAAACUCUUCGGAGUUAGUGGCGGACGGGUGAGUAACACGUGGGAACGUGCCUUUUGGUUCGGAAUAACUCAGGGAAACUUGUGCUAAUACCGAAUGUGCCCUUCGGGGGAAAGAUUUAUCGCCAUUAGAGCGGCCCGCGUCUGAUUAGCUAGUUGGUGAGGUAACGGCUCACCAAGGCGACGAUCAGUAGCUGGUCUGAGAGGAUGACCAGCCACACUGGGACUGAGACACGGCCCAGACUCCUACGGGAGGCAGCAGUGGGGAAUCUUGCGCAAUGGGCGAAAGCCUGACGCAGCCAUGCGGCGUGAAUGAUGAAGGUCUUAGGAUUGUAAAAUUCUUUCACCGGGGACGAUAAUGACGGUACCCGGAGAAGAAGCCCCGGCUAACUUCGUG